GGUAGAGAAGACGAAUGGUAAGUCAUCAGACUCAUGAUCUGAAAAAGCGGGUUCGAUUCCCGUCUCUACAG
rnacentral:tRNA from 1 species